GUAGAGAUAAGUGGAAGCCACUUCUCUCUUGUUUGGUGCUAAGAAGGGAGUGAGGGCAGGUCUGGAACCACUUCCUCUCACCAAUCCUGAGAAUUUCCACCCAGCCCUGACCAUCCUCCUCUUCCUCCGCAUUUGAUCUGUCUUUGGUUUUUGAGGAGAAGAUAAGGGAAGAUGAACAAGAUGAGAGAGAGAAGAUGAGGGGGAAGAGAAAGGAAUGAAAUAGGCAACAGGAAAGACUUCUCUGAAAUUGGUGCCAGAGUCUUCCCCAGUGCCAUUGGAUGAAUAAUUUCAGGCUAGUUAAGGAAGAAGUCAAGAUGGAGAGAACUCUGCUGUGUUGCCUCCUUUCAUUCUCUGCUUUAUGCUGAAAGAAUUUGAGCAUCCUUCAAAUAUGAGAUUAAAGGAUGAAAAACACAAACUAAAGCUGGAUGGUAAGAGGCAUUCCUGGGAAGUUUUGUUCUUUCUACCCGAAGAAGCUCCACAACCUGCAGUAAGAUGGUGUCCACAGAACUGGGUGGAGUCAUUAAGAUUUUUCUACCCCUCUCCCACUGCCACCCACAUGCUAGCGCUAGCUCCUUUGUGGACCUAAGAUAACCCAUUUCUUCUCAGAGCCUGGGACCCACAUCAUCUCCCACCCCCACUGGCCAAUGCUUUUCACAUCAACAGUUGUGAAUCUUUCCCAUGUUUCUUCAGCGCUUUU
rnacentral:lncRNA from 1 species